GCCACUGCUAUUGGGGUUCGGCUAAGCCAUGCGAGUGGAGGGCGUCCCGCAAGGGAUGGCCCCGCAGACGGCUCAGUAACACGUCGUCAACCCACCUUAGGGUGGGGGACAACCUCGGGAAACUGAGGAUAAUCCCCCAUAGGCGGGGGAGGCUAGAAUGCGUCCCCGCUGAAAGCUCAGGCGCCCUAGGACGGGACGGCGGCCUAUCAGGUAGUUGGUGGUGUGACG
rnacentral:rRNA from 1 species